rnacentral:rRNA from 1 species
UACGUAGGGUGCAAGCGUUAAUCGGAAUUACUGGGCGUAAAGCGUGCGCAGGCGGUUUUGUAAGUCUGACGUGAAAUCCCCGGGCUCAACCUGGGAAUUGCGUUGGAGACUGCAAGGCUAGAAUCUGGCAUAGGGGGGUAGAAUUCCACGUGUAGCAGUGAAAUGCGUAGAGAUGUGGAGGAACACCGAUGGCGAAGGCAGCCCCCUGGGUCAAGAUUGACGCUCAUGCACGAAAGCGUGGGGAGCAAACAGG